AAUCGCCAAAAGAAAGGAACUAGCUAGAGAGGUGGCUAUAAAAUGACAACACAAAAAGAAACAUAUGAGAAGUUACUAGACACUCUUGAGUCCAUUUUUUUCCAGUUGAUGGCUUUUACAAUGGAUAAUACAUGCAUGGAAAAAAAUAGAAUGGCCGUAACUUUUUUUAGCACAUAAGCGCGAGAAAACGGCAGUUCGAAGCGUGCGACACCCAUGAUUUGAAUCGGAUGUGCCGUCGAAAGAGCAUGCACGGCAGACGGAAGAGGCAUGACGCCAUCUUCGCCAUGUUUUGAUGUCGUCAUCCCCCCUCGAACGCUGUUUCGCCGUACAGCACAAUAGCCCGUGUUUUUUAGCGAGUGUUUUUCUCUGGAUGCACAACGCACGUUCCGGGUGGUUCCUAGUGGCUUGGCCGGUCGCGGAUUCCCCAGCACCCUUCCGGUAGCUCGUCGAUUGCAUGUACACCGCGCGAGGCUGGAUAACCCUCGUCCUCGUAGAAGGUUUGCAGUACGUGAGCGCACGGACGUUUUCAUGUCCGAGGAAGUAGCCGCGGUGCGGGGGGGGUCCGCGAGCGUCGUCUACGCGGUGGUUGUAUCGUAGUGCGAAACAGAGGAAUCGAUCGGAUUGCUCGUCACCAUCGUCAGUUAGCACUGCCUCGCCGUUGAUUAUCCCAAUAGUUCGACUGACAGCAUCUGACGACGUUACCAUCAGCAGCGUGGUUACAUCACGCCACCCUGAGAAGGCGAAUCCAACGGAUCCUUCGGAUCCGAUCGAAACGGAUAGAGCGCCUUGCGUGCGUACGUACGUACGUACGUGUAUACGUGCGUGCGUGCGUGCGUGCGUGUGCGCGUGCAUUUUUUUUCCCCAUCUUCGUUUCGGAUACACGAAGAGGUGCGAGGAAAAGAAUUUGCCAGUAAAAUGGAGUUGCGUUUACACUCGCCAGCAGGAGCGGAACCAAUUGUGUAUCAAUGGCCUCUCACCUCUGGAUCAGGAUCAGAUCGUUUGGAUGGAGCAUUGGAUGUUAUCGAAACUAUGCGCUGGGUUUGCGAAGAUUUGCCUGAUCUGAAAUUACCUUUAGAGAAUAAUAUUUUUUCCGACUAUAAUCCGAAGAAUUAUGAAAGUAUGAAAAGCUUAUGUGACAAAUUCAACAGAGCCAUCGAUAGUUUAGUACAAUUGGAAAAAGGCACCAGUUUACCAUCCCAGAGGCUAAAUAAAAGACCUAGUAGAGGUUUACUUCGUCAUAUACUUCAACAAACUUAUAAUCAAGCUGUGGUUGAACCAGAUAAGUUGAAUCAAUAUGAGCCAUUUUCACCAGAGGUCUACGGCGAAACGAGUUACGACCUUGUAUGUCAGAUGAUCGAUCAAGUACGUGUGACGGAGGACGAUGUCUUUGUUGAUUUAGGUUCCGGAGUUGGUCAAGUCGUUCUGCAAAUGGCGGCGUUGACUUUAUGCAAAAUUUGUAUUGGUGUAGAGAGGGCUGAGGUACCAUCUACAUAUGCACAGAGCAUGGAAAUAAAUUUUCGAAAAUGGUUAAACUGGUACGGAAAACGAUGCGGCGAAUAUCGUUUAAUCAAGGGAGACUUUCUAGUGGACGAACAUCGUGAAAGUAUUACCGGAGCUACGAUAGUGUUUGUUAAUAAUUUUGCGUUUGGUCCAACAGUCGAUCAUCAGUUGAAGGAACGAUUUGCUGAUUUACGCGAUGGCGCUCGUAUAGUAUCCUCGAAGUCGUUCUGUCCGUUAAACUUUCGAAUAACGGACAGAAAUCUAAGUGAUAUCGGCACAAUAAUGCAUGUCUCAGAAAUGUCACCGUUAAAAGGCUCCGUUUCUUGGACUGGUAAGCCGGUGUCGUAUUAUUUGCACGUAAUCGAUCGAACUAAAUUAGAACGUUACUUCCACCGCUUGAAGAACAAUAAACAAGGUGGCUUAGAUGAAAACUCUGAUUCUGUGAUAAGUAACACUGCCAGCAAUAGUAGUAAGGUUUCUAAUAGGAAUGACAGAGCUGACAGAGCCAAGAGAGACCUUUCGAGGCAAUUAGACAGUCCGAACAAUUCGGAGCAGCAAGGAACGAAUAGCGAUUCUGAUCUCGAUGAUACCACCAUCAAGAGUCGUCGACAGUCGAACAAAAUUCGGCGGAAGUUCAAUAGAAAAACUACGAAUGGCAUUACGAGGGCCCCGGCCAGAGGUAGACAGAGAGGAAGGGGUGUCAAGAGAGCCAAGCCGAAAAAGGCGAUCAAUAUAUCUGGUCUCGACUUGUUGCACAGUCAAACUUUGCUUAGCACGUCACCUCAAGCUCUUGGGAAGAAGCCUCCACCUGCUCCUGGUUGUGUAGAUCAACAACUGUCUUCGCUGUCGCUUUCUUUGCAGUCGCAUUCCACCUCGGUGCACGAGGAACUCAGUAUACCACCCGCUCCGUCCGCAACUCCUUACGCUCUACAAAUACUCCUGGACUUGUACAGGGACCAAUUCAUGCUUAUGUUAGAAUCAAUGAGAAUGCCGACUUACAAAGUAUCCGUCAAUACGGAUAUCGCGAAAGAAAGGGAAAGGAACUCCAAGCUCCAGUCGAGAGCGGCGCAAUUGGAGAAGCAGAUCAAAGUCUUGAUAGACGAUAGCGUAGCUCUCUUAAAAGCUAGAAUGACUGAAUUAGGUAUCAAUGCUACGUCGCCGGGUGAUCUAUUAGCGAAAGCCAAAGAGAUAGUUCUGAGACACAAACAGCUGCAGGCUAAAGCGAGCAAGUUGCAAGCGCAAGUGGCGUCUAUGGAAACUGAACAGAGCAGAUUGGUGGCGCUCAGACAUCAAGAGUUGCAGGAGAAAUAUAACGGACACGCGAACGCAAACGGCAUGACAAAUCCACCUCAAUCGCUCACUCAGGAUUACAUAUUGAAAGAAAUUUCCGCCACCUUGUCUCAGCGUAAACGAUUACAUUCUCAAGUUUCGAAAUUGGAACACGAGUUAAACGUGUUGGAGAGAACGAGCAACGAAAAGCAGGUAGUAGCCGCCAUUGCUCAGCAACAGAGAGACGCGAUAGGAAGCAAGCACUCGCAAAACUUACACCAACAGCCGGGUAGUAAGAACGGAGCAUCGCGAAAAAGUAGGGAAGGCCGCUCGAGGUCGCAGGAAUGGCCCGACGUUCCGGAUAUAGGCAAGAUACAAGAGAAUAAUCCGGAAAUAUUGGCGCAAAAGAUUUUGGAAACGGGAAGGCAAAUAGAGGCGGGUCGCAUUCCGAGCAGACAGAGCGCGAAUAGCAAUAGUAAUUCCCGAACCAGACUGUCGCAGGCGUCCCUUAGCUUCUCCACCACAUCAUCCUCCAUUUCGUCCACGCAAUCGCAGAUGACCAAUAAGGACGCGUCGAGUAGAACUCAGGAGCCGCCGAGGGUCGCGAAUUUUGAGGACAGACUGAAAAGCAUCAUCACGAGUGUGCUGAACGAGGAUCAGCAAAACAGGAAUAAGCAACAGCAGAUGCAGUUGCAAUUACAAAACCAGUCGGAAUCCGAGAGAAAACGCAUUCCGUUGCCGCAGAAUGUUUCCACCCCGGAUUACACUCAGGUUUCACCCGCGAAGCUAGCGCUUCGCCGUCAUCUCUCGCAAGAACGCCUCUCGUCGUCUCAUUUGACAUCGUCCGACAGAUCGGCAGUCGAUUCCAGACAAUCACUGAGUCACGACAAUCGGCUUGUGGCGAGCGGCAGCGGGUUGCUCGGCACGAGAACGAUUGGCGAUCUCGUGAGCGGGGAAAUAGAGAGAACGCUCGAGAUAUCCAAUCAGUCUAUAAUAAACGCCGCCGUUGAUAUCAGCACGAUGAUGAGACCCGAAACUGUGUACUCGCCUAUCAGUAGGCCGGCGAGUGCCGAAGGUGACGCGGGUCUGUCGACUUUGGCGCAUGUGGCUAGUUACGCGCCCACUUCUUCGGGAGCCUCCACCUCCACACCGACGACUAGCUCAAGAUCAUCUGUGCUCUUCACUCCGGUUACGCAAUCACAAAGGUAUACACCGGUUCAACUGCCGCGAGCGGAUAUCAAACCUUAUCACGAGUCCUAUUUCUCGGAUCCUUCUCAGUCGCUCACGCAGCCCCAUCCGGCGACACCGCCUCUGCAUUCGUCUCAGAGCGCGUCAAACGGGGAAUUGUUACCCGUAGAGGGGCUCGCGGCGUCAUUGCACGCUCGAAUACUGAAUAAUCACAAUAAUAACGGCAAAACCGAGUCGACGCUUUCCAGCAGAAGAUUUCAGCCGUAUCCGCGAUACACUACAAACAGUAAUAGUAGCGGCGGCGCAACAACAAGCGGCACUGCGAUCUGUCAAUCGCAACCGACGAUGUCGGUGAAAACGGAAGCGGUUGUGUCGUCGGUGAGCACUAGCGGAGCGCCGCUGAGUCCUCUCGUGGAACCGCAUUCCAAUACAUCGACGCCGCUAGUCGACGAACCACAAAUGACAACGCAGAGGCAGCGAAGCGCUGUGGGGGACGACGAUGCACUGUAGCUGUUUGUCGGUUAGUUCUGUCUGUCACAUACUCAAUCUCAAAAUCCCUGAGGCUUGUUUUAUUAGAGAUUGAGACACACACACACAGAUAUCAGAAGGAGAAAUGACAAAAAAAUACGGCUGCCUGUGGGUUGGUUCGUCGGUACGCUCGCCGAUGGAGAAGCUGAUUGGCAAGAUCGCAUUAGCUCAGGGUUUGAUCGUUUGGUCGCAUUUGCUUCUACAGAAUUGGAUAAACGUA
rnacentral:misc_RNA from 1 species